rnacentral:rRNA from 1 species
CAGUGGAGUAUGUGGUUUAAUUCGAAGCAACGCGAAGAACCUUACCAGGGCUUGACAUCCUCUGACGACAGUAGAGAUAUGUUUCCUUCGGGGACAGAGAGACAGGUGGUGCAUGGUUGUCGUCAGCUCGUGUCGUGAGAUGUUGGGUUAAGUCCCGCAACGAGCGCAACCCCUAUUGUCAGUUGCCAGCAUGUAAUGGUGGGCACUCUGGCGAGACUGCCGUUGACAAAAACGGAGGAAGGUGGGGACGACGUCAAAUCAUCAUGCCCCUUAUGUCCUGGGCUACACACGUACUACAAUGGCAACAACAGAGGGCAGCCAGGUCGCGAGGCCGAGCGAAUCCCAAAAUGUUGUCUCAGUUCAGAUUGCAGGCUGCAACUCGCCUGCAUGAAGUCGGAAUUGCUAGUAAUGGCAGGUCAGCAUACUGCCGUGAAUACGUUCCCGGGCCUU